GUUCGUAGCUCAGUGGUAGAGUUCAUGCUUUUUGUACGUGAUGUCCUGGGUUCAAUUCCCAGCUUCU